rnacentral:piRNA from 1 species
UUCCACCGGAUAGACACAACUCAAGGCUC